AAUCCUUUGACGAGCAGCAUUUCCCAAAACAUACCCGUUGCUUAGAAAUUACAAUUGACUGAGUCCUUGAAGUAGUUUGUCUCUGAUUGACUUUGUGAUGAUUUGAGUCAAAUGUAAAACACUCGGGGCAGGUAAGCGAUCCACAAACAAAGCCAUCUUCAAAGGAUCGCUGUGUGUGAAGGAGAACAAAUGCAUCCCAUGAGGAGACAAUCACAGCUCUUUAGCAGAAGGAAAUUUGGCUUUCUAAAUGGGCCGUUGGUUUGAGUGUGUUCCUUCUCUCCUACUUGGCACUCUGCAAAAUCCCAGCUAAUAGAGGCUUGCCUGACAGACAGUUUUCCACGUUUCGUUUCAUCUUAUUUGUUAUCGGUGUAUUUAUGAGGCACUUUACAUUUUCCGACAUUCUACUGAUAAAAUAAAGUGAACUGGAUUUUCUGUUCUUUGUAGUUAUUAAUCCAUCCUUCCAUCCAUCCAUCCAUCCAUCUUCUACCGCUUAUCCGGGGCCGGGUCGCUGGGGCAACAGCUUUAGCAGGGAAGCCCAGACUUCCCUCUCCCUAGCUACUUCUUCCAGCUCUCCCCGGGGGAUCCCGAGGCGUUCCCAGGCCAGCUGGGUGACAUAGUCUCUCCAGCGUGUCCUGGGUCUUCCCCGGGGUCUCCUCCCGGUGGGACAUGCCCGGAACACCUCACCAGGGAGGCGCUCAGGAGGCAUCCGAAUCAGAUGCCCAAGCCACCUCAUCUGGCUCCUCUCAAUGUGGAGGAGAAGCGGCUCGACUCUGAGCCCCUCCCGGAUGACCGAGCUUCUCACCUUAUCUCUAAGGGAGAGCCCGGACACCCUGCGGAGAAAACUCAUUUCGGCCGCUUGUAUCCGGGAUCUCGUUCUUUCGGUCACGACCCAUAGCUCGUGACCAUAGAUGAGGGUUGGGACCUUCGCCCUUUGGCUCAGCUCCUUCU